UCAAACUUGGUCAUUUAGAGGAAGUAAAAGUCGUAACAAGGUUUCCGUAGGUGAACCUGCGGAAGGAUCAUUAUUGAAUAAACUCGACUUGUUGAUGCUGGUCUCUUCAGAGGCAUGUGCUCGCUUGUCAUCUUUAUAUCUCCACCUGUGCACUUUCUGUAGAACUGUGAAAAGCAAACUUGUUAUCCGAGGCAACUCGAGAUGUUUUAGGACUGCUGUGCGUAAAAGCCAGCUUUCCUUGUUGCGUUUCUACAGUGCUACGUUUUUUCAUAUACACCAUGAAAUGUAACAGAAUGUAUCACUAGGUCUUUGAACCUAUAAACGAAAUAUACAACUUUCAGCAACGGAUCUCUUGGCUCUCGCAUCGAUGAAGAACGCAGC
rnacentral:misc_RNA from 1 species